rnacentral:rRNA from 1 species
CACCGGCUAACUUCGUGCCAGCAGCCGCGGUAAUACGAAGGGUGCAAGCGUUGCUCGGAAUUAUUGGGCGUAAAGCGUACGCAGGCGGUCUACCAAGUCGGGCGUGAAAGUCCGGGGCUCAACUCCGGGAAGUCGCACGAAACUAGCAGACUUGAGUUCGGGAGAGGGGUGUGGAAUUCCCAGUGUAGAAGUGAAAUUCGUAGAUAUUGGGAGGAACACCGGUGGCGAAGGCGACACCCUGGCCCGAAACUGACGCUCAUGUACGAAAGCGUGGGUAGCAAACAGGAUUAGAUACCCUGGUAGUCCACGCCGUAAACGAUGGGUGCCAGAUGUUGCGGGUAUUAUUCCUGCAGCGUCGUAGCUAACGCAUUAAGCACCCCGCCUGGGGAGUACGGCCGCAAGGUUAAAACUCAAAGGAAUUGACGGGGG